GCUUUUAGUACCCCUAUAGUUAGUAAAUAGAGCUUCAGCUAACACUGCAUACGGUUAAAUUUGCAGGCUAAAACAACAAAGCAAAAAUAUGUUUAUCGCAGAUGUUAUUAUAAUGCUUGCCCCCAGUCCGCUCAGCCGAAGCUCCCAGAGGAUGAGGCAGCCCUUGGGCAACCGAAGUCCAGCAUGUGUGAGCAGGUCGCUCCUCCAAGCCCCUCUGAUGCGGUGUGUACCGGAGGUCUAUCCUGACCGGUCGCCAGAACUGUAGUGUGUUCUGGUUCCGGCGUCCGGCACCGCCUAGUCCUCCUUCUGCGGGUUGAUUGCCGACAGGAGCCCUCCCGGGCAACUCGAGAUCCAGGUGAGAGGCAGUUGGUGUGGAUGUUGUGCCGUGAAUUUGGUGCGCAGAUUGCGACGUCCAUCUGUGUCUGCACCUCCGCGGUAACAUACGUGGGACACACAGUAGAGGCCGCCUUCAUGCCGUUGUAUCCUAUUCUCUUGAUUCGCCUGUGUAGCUUUGUUUUGCGUGGUUGCGAGGUUUGGAGCCGAUUUCGCCGUCUCUCCGUGCGGCAUGUCCUGGAUGUCUGAGCCGCCUUGAGCGUGAGAUGGGAGCAGGUGUUCCCUGUACCGUCUGCGCACGUGGCGCCCGCCAUUUUAGGUGUGGCGGUUGGGCUCCCCGGCCUCAG